rnacentral:rRNA from 1 species
GACGAACGCUGGCGGCGUGCCUAACACAUGCAAGUCGAACGGGGUGAAGCCCCUUCGGGACUUCACUUAGUGGCGAACGGGUGAGUAAACGCGUGAGGAACCUGCCUUUCAGUGGGGGACAACAGUUGGAAACGACUGCUAAUACCGCAUAACACUUUUUGGGGACAUCCCUGAAAAGUCAAAGCUUUAUGUGCUGAAAGAUGGCCUCGCGUCUGAUUAGCUAGUUGGCGGGGUAACGGCCCACCAAGGCGACGAUCAGUAGCCGGUCUGAGAGGAUGAAACGGCCACAUUGGGACCUGAGAUACGGCCCAGACUCCUACGGGA